GAUCCCAACAUUUUUGAAUGGUAGUAUUUUUCUAUCUUUUUAAUCAAUCAAACAAUUUGCAAGCAGCCAACAAGGUCUGUACUCACCUUUCAUACUGCUGCUAUAUUUUUAUUUCAGUAGUGCAGUUCUGUGAUUCCCUGCAUGUCCAGCGGAGGGCCACUGCAUUCCAGCCAAAACAUGUUGAUCCAACCACAUGGAAGUACACAUCUGACGUCACAUCUCCCUAGUUAAAUAUAGGAGCCGUGAUUCUAUAUUUCAGAUCUGUUCUAUAAAAUCCCCAGUGAAGCCAUAUGCAGUUAGAUUUGAGAUAAAAAAGUGCUAAUUAGAAGCAUGAUUAACUUUAGUGUAAUAGAUCCUAAUGCCAAUUAUUAAUUUAAUCGAAAUCAUCAAAACACUUUAUUUUGAAAAAAUGAUUACUGUGGCGAUGCAAUAUCACUGACUGUACAUACAUUCAAUUAAUAACAUUAUCUGAAACAUCAAAAAUCAGACAUUUGAGUCUGUGAACAUGCAACUGUCUCCUUUUCUUUUGCUUCCAGUAGAGCACACCCCCUAUCACCUAAAAAGGCAAGAGUGCAACUGCUAAACGCUACACUGUCUAAGAAUAAACCAGGCUUGCAGUGUCUAAGGUUACCUUGAAGCACCCCAGCAUUUCUCCCGUCUCACGCUCAUGUGAGGCACCAAUAACAUGGGCUAAAUUACCAGCACUUAUUUGCUGCAUCCCCUGCAAGAGCCUGAACUCCCCUGUUUACGGCCAUGCCCUAACAUCCCAUUCUCCCCCAGCCAUGAUCUCAAAUCCGGCACUUUGAAAACCCUCAUCCUGCUUUUCUCACAAGAUUGUGAGGAUUCACCUGUGGAUUAAAUGGGGACAACAAAAAAGAACAUCUUUUCCUGAGUGGGAUUUAACAUCAACUGGGUGAAACGGUCCAAAUAAGAUUGGGAUACACAAGCGAAAUCAAAGGACACUCGGCUGAAGUACCACCAUGGCUCAGGCAACUAAAGGUCCCGUGGUGAAGUCCAUCCCUCCCACUGGUGUAGCUGCCCCGGCUAGAACAGCACACACAGACUCACUUACUGCCGGGAGCCAUGGAAUUUUACGAAUCAUGAAUCGCCCGGCACAGUGGGUGGUCAUCAUCACACUUCUGAUUUCUUGGUCAAUAGCAGGUGUUGUCAUGUUUGAUUUUGUCAGUGACGAUCAGAUUGCAAGCAUCCAGGAUUUUGGCUCUGAUCCAGUGCUAGCAGUGAGCAAGGCCAUCGAAGGCAUUGAAAACUGGAUAAACCAUAUGAACGAUAUGCUUUAUGAUGCUCACGAGUACAUCACUGAAAUAAUAUUUAAUCCGAGGGAAGCUAUUAGUUUAGCAGCUGACUCAUCUGUGUCUUAUCUGUCAGGAAUAUUUAGUGCUGAUGGAGAUUCAGGAGUCACUGAAACAGUGAAAUAUGGUGGCACUGUAUUGGAUGAGGCUACAGAAUGGAUCAGAACCCCAGUGAGCUACUUAUUCCACUUGUUUGAAGACAUAUUGGAUAUAGUGAUUACUCCAGUGGAUAUGGUCACUGAAGUUGCUGUGCAAAUUUUAAGUGGGAUCAAGACCAUUAUACAAUAUAUUUCAACCAUGUUUGGGGGCAUUGAAGGGGAUACAGGCAUCACUGAAACAGUGAAACUUGGUGGUACUUUAUUGGAUGAGGUUACUGAAUGGAUCAGAUUCCCAGUGGGCUACUUAUUCCACUUAUUUGAAGGCAUCUUGGAUGUAGCAAUCAUUUAUCCAGGGGACAUUGCCACUGAAGCAGUUCUGCAAAUUUUAAGUGGGAUCAAGACCAUUUCUUCAACCAUAUUUGGAUACCUUGAAGUUUGGUUUCCCAAAAUGAGCACUGGUCCCGCAGAACUGGCUGAAAUUGUUGUAGAGAAGGCCACAGACAUAAAGACCACUGUCUCUAAUUACCUAACCAGUCUGUUUGCAGUGGAUGAAGGUGGUAUUCCUGACAUUAGCUUUGAUCCCAUGAAAGUUGUCACAGACACUGUUGAGGAGUUUGCUGACAGGAGGGAUAUGUUCUUGGCCUAUCUCUCCAACAUGGAAGACAAAGAUGACACACCGCAAGUGAUAAGACGGAAAGGAGAAUUUCUGCCCCCUAUGGAAAAAGUGAAGGAGACAGACAACACUAAAGUAAUAAAAGAGGUUGAGGAGGAACAUGGUGAGCUGGAAUCUGCUGAAGAUGCAACUGAAAAAGCUCAAGAUAUACAAGUAGAUGUUACAAAGGAGGAAGGAAGAGUUGAACCAGCUGAGGACAGCUCUGAUGUCACAGUUUACGAUGAUGAGGUUGUCUCAGAUGUCAUGGAGGAGGAUAAAACUCCUGGAACAGUUGAAGAUAUUUUGGAUGUUACAGAGGAGGAACCUUCUGUUAUGCCAGAAGUCAUAGAUGAGGAAUUAGCUACUGAAAAGGUUGAAGAUAUCUCUGAUUUCAUAGAGGACAAGUCAGCUAUGAUGGCCUCUGAUGCGACAGAAGACACUGAUGAUGCCUCUGCAGUUACAGAGGAGAAAGAAACAACUGAAACAAUUGAAGAAGCAGCAAUUGAAACAGCAGAAGAUACUUCCAAUAUUACAACCAAAACUGAAUUGAAUACAGAUGAAAAUGAAUUUCAGAAAAUUCCCAAUAUUACAGAGGAGGAUGCAGAACUUGAAACAGUUAAAGAUACUUCUGAUCUCAUAGGUGAGAUAGAAGAACCUGAGACAGAUGAAUAUGCCUUUGCUGUCACGGAAGAAACAGCUGAAGAGUCACUAGAAGAAGAACAGCCACCAGAAUUGACUGAAGCUACUCAAGAUACCAUCUGUGUGAAGGAAAAGAUUGCAGCAAAAGAACUCAAUGAUCAUGAAGUCCCAGGUAAGGAUGAAUUAAAAGAGGAAGAUAAGCAGAGAAAGGAAGAUGUGGCAAUUGCUGAUGCUGAAAACAGCACAAAAAACCUGGAGAAUGAGGUAGAUGAAGAUGAGGUUGAGGUGGAGACUAAAGAUCAAACUAUCUUGGGAACAUCUGCUGGUGAAGAUGACCUUGACAAUGAAGAGGAGCUUGUCCUUUCUCCUGUCCAGCAUGACCUCACAGACAGAAAUGAUGAAAAUAACAAUAACAAUGACAGGAUGAGAGAUGCCAUAAAAACAGGCCUGAGCAGGAGAAAAACAUCAAAGAGCCAUUCCAUUGGCACAAACCACCAAGAAGCACACGAGGAUCUUCAUGAAGAGUCUCACAAAGUUCUUGAACAAGUGAAAGAAGCCAAAGAGAAAAAAGCUAGAGAGGAGAUAUACAAAAUCAUUCAAGAUAUGAGGGAAAAGAAGGCUGAAAGUAAAGAGGAAGAGAUAACACUGCAACGAAUAAACAUAACAGUAGAAAAAGUCAAGAAGAAAAAGGAGAUAGAAAAGGCUAAAAGAAAAGAAAAAUCCAAAGAGGACAAGACUCGAGAACCAACAGAAAAGGACACCAAGAAAAAAACUGAGAAAAAGGUCAAGGUGACUAAAGUGGGCGAGGAACCCCCUCUAAAAAAGAAGAAAUCUGAAGCUAAAAUGGCCAAAAAAGAGACCAAACUAGCAACAUCUAAGAAAGAGCCUCGAGUUACAAAAGAAAAGGCUAAACCAGCUCGUUCAAAGAAAGAGCCUGAGGUUUCCAAAGAGAAGGCCAAGCUGAAGCCCUCAAAGAAAGAAGCUAAAGCUCCCAAGGACAAAAUUAAACCGGCCCUUUUGAAGAAAGAGCCUGAUGUUUCUAAGGAGAAAGAAAAACCACCAACUGCAAAGAAAGAAGAAAAGCCAACAACCGCUAAAAAAGAGCCUGCAGUUGCAGAAGAGAAAGUCAAACCAGUGCCCUCAAAGAAAGAUACUAAAGCUAUUAAGGAGAAAGUGAAACCAGCCCCAGUUAAGAAAGAGCCUGAGGUUUCCAAAGAAAAAGCCAAGCCAAAACGUUUAAAGAAAGAGGCUAAAUCUGUUGAAGAGAAGGCAAAACCAGCACCAGCUAAAAAAGAGAAGGAGAAACCUCCAAAGAAAGCUGUAAAAGAAAAGCCCAAACCUGCUUCUGUAAAGAAAGAACCUAAAUUUCCAAGAGAGAAAGCAAAACCUAAACCUUCCAAAAAAGAGGCAGAAGUUGCCAAAGACAAGCAUAAACCUGUCACUGUGAAGAAAGAACCUGCUGUUGCAGUUGAAAAGGCAAAACCGAAACCUGCACCAAAGAAAGUUACCAAAGAGAAAGCUAAACCAGAACCUGCAAAGAAAGAACCUGAGAUAACCAAAGAAAAACCGAGAGCACCAAAGAGAAAGGCUCAAGUUAUUAAGGAGGAAGCUAAACCAGCUCCUGCAAAAAAAGUCUUCAAAGAUGUUAAACCAGCCCUUAAGAGAAGAGAGGCUAAAGUAAUGAAGAAGAAAGUUAAACCGACUCCUGUAAAGAAAGAGCCUGAAGUUGCUAAAGAAAAGGCACCUGAAUCAGCACCAAGAAUAGAAAAGCCAAAGCCAGCACCAAAGAUAGUGGCUAAAGUCAUCAAGGAGAAACCUAAACCAGUUCCUGAGAAGAAAGAAGCUGUAAUCAUCAAAAAGAAAGUUAAACUGGCUCCAGUAAAGAAAGCACCUGAGAUAAUCAAAGAAAAGCCAAAGCCAGCACCAAAGAAAGAGGCUGAAGUCAUCAAAGAGAAAGCUAAACCAACUCCUGAAAAGAAAGUCAUCAAGGAGAAACCUAAACCAGUUCCUGAGAAGAAAGAAGCUGUAAUCAUCAAAAAGAAAGUUAAACUGGCUCCAGUAAAGAAAGCACCUGAGAUAGUCAAAGAAAAGCCAAAGCCAGCACCAAAGAAAGAGGCUGAAGUCAUCAAAGAGAAAGCUAAAGCAACUCCUGAAAAGAAAGAGACCGAAGUCAUCAAGGAGAAAGUUAAACCAGCCCCUGUAAAGAAAGUUAAAGUUCCAAAGGAAAAGACAAAACUUGUCCUUGAAGCAAAGGAACCCAAAAUAACUAAGGAAAAGCCAAAGCCAGCACCAAAGAAAGAAGCUUUAGUCAUCAAAGAGAAAGCUAAACCAGCCCCUGUGAAGAAAGAGUCUGAAAUUAUCAAGGAAGAAAGAAAGAAAGCUAAACCAGCUCCUAAGAAGAAAGUGGCUGAAGUCACCAAGGAGAAAGCUAAGCAAGCUCCGAUGAAGAAAGAGCCUGAAGUCACUAAAGAAAAGUUAUUAGAACCAACUCCAAAAAAAGAGCUCCUGAACUCUAUCAGCCAAAAACUGUCUCUUCUGGAUUUACUGAGGAAGGACAUUGGUGAAAUGAAGAGUGAUCUGGAGUCCACUCAAAAUCAAAUUACGCUUUUACGAAUGGACAACAGAACAAUCAAAGAGCCAAAGACUGUUGGUGUAAAGGUAAAACCAGCAGUCUCCAAGGAAAAGGUCAAAACAGCAAAAAAAGACCAUGAUGCUCUGAUGAACGUUACAGCACAUAUUAAAGCAGAAGCUGAAAUCAUCAAAAAGAUAAAAGAUAAAGUUAAACUGGCUCCUUUAAAGAAAGAACGUGAUGCACUGAAAAACAUCACUAAACCAGCACCUGCAAAGAAAGAUAAAGAGGCUCCAAAAGCUAAGAUCAGACCACAGCCCAAAAAGAAAGAAAUCACCCAUGAGAAGGUCAAACAAGUAAAGGAACCUUUACAGAAAGAACCUAAGCAGGUCAAAGAAAAAGUCGAGCCAACUAAGAAGGAGGCUGUUGUGGGCAAGGAAGUAAAAGGAGAAGAACCUGAUGUCUCCAAAGAUAUUCCAGAGAUGGAGGAUGAGGAUGUUCCCUACUUCCAGUGUUUCUUUGUGGAUGAGGAUGAUACUCAGUAUCCAUUCUUCCCCUUUUCACCACCGCUGUGGUGA
ensembl:lncRNA